AUUGAACGCUGGCGGAAUGCUUUACACAUGCAAGUCGAACGGCAGCACGGGGGCAACCCUGGUGGCGAGUGGCGAACGGGUGAGUAAUACAUCGGAACGUGCCCAGUCGUGGGGGAUAACGUAGCGAAAGUUACGCUAAUACCGCAUACGAUCUACGGAUGAAAGCGGGGGACCGUAAGGCCUCGCGCGAUUGGAGCGGCCGAUGUCAGAUUAGGUAGCUGGUGAGGUAAAGGCUCACCAAGCCGACGAUCUGUAGCUGGUCUGAGAGGACGACCGCACACACUGGGCCUGAGACACGGCCCAGACUCCUACGGGAGGCAGCAGUGGGGAAUUUUGGACAAUGGGCGCAAGCCUGAUCCAGCCAUUCCGCGUGCAGGACGAAGGCCUUCGGGUUGUAAACUGCUUUUGUACGGAACGAAAAGGCUCUGGUUAAUACCUGGGGCUCAUGACGGUACCGUAAGAAUAAGCACCGGCUAACUACGUGCCAGCAGCCGCGGUAA
rnacentral:rRNA from 1 species